GACAUCUCUAGUGAUGCAAGAGAUUGGAAUAUACUGUUUGACGAAGAUAAAUACCCUGCCCAAUUCCCUCAGCAUACCUACAAUGCUAGAGCUCAGUGACCAAGUGGAAAGGAAGAAAAAACCAAAAGAGAGCUAAUUCCCGGGAUCACUGGUGUUGACUGGAUUGUGAAGAUCUUUAUGGUGGAUAUUUACUGCAGAGUCCUGUGGCACCACAUAAUUCUUUUCAACUACUUUGGUCUAAAGAACGAAGACGGUAGUACUGCAAGAGAUUGCUUUGAAAUCUCUUCAAUGUUUCUAAUCAACGGUUCAUCCAAGUGUUGCAUGCACAAAACAUGGUUCAAGCUAUAACCGCGGAAUCACAAGUACUGGUAACUGAGAUGCCUUCUAACAACCAGAAGCCCAGAAGAAACUGCUCUUUCAAGACAUACAGUUUAAGGGCAUAAUUGUUUUAAUUUUAUCUGCUUUUACUGUAGUUGAACUGCAACUAUCAUAAUCUAACAGACAUGAUGGACAGUUGAGCUGAAGAUUACAUAUAUAUUUGGCUUUCAUUUAUAUCAGCGUUGUUUUCAAUGGCCUUCAAACUUCAGCUUUUUUGAUGAAAUAAGACCCUUCAUGAUUGAAUUUCUCAGAAGUUUAUUAUCUUACUGUUGUUAAGUAAGUUUUUCACGGGGAUAUAUUCAUAAAAACACUGUCUAACAUUUACUUCAUCAAAGGUAUGUGAAUUUACAAACUACGAUUCUGAUAGAAUUGAAAGCUACAAAAGUAAAGUGACAGAUCUUUUUGCACGAUAACUGUCAUUAUCCUCCACCAUGCUGGGUUCCUGACCUUGCUUCAUCUAAAUACACAGCUGGUCAAAACACUAAACGCUAUUUUAAAUGCUUUGUGGUCGACUGAGGAGCAUUGGUAGACAUAUUCAAUGGUUUCCACAUUUACGGAGACCAAGAUAAUAAAUGCCACGCACACUAUAGUUAGGUACAGCACACAGAACAUUGCUAAAUUCUAGUCCUGCCUCAUCGAUUUGAAAUGAGAAAUGAGCAGACAAAAGACGAAAAAGAUUGACGCUCAGGACUGCCACAUAUAGAAACAACUGCAACGAUUAAAUGCCUAAGGUCUAAUUGGUUAGUGAACAAUUGCUGAAGCCUGUAACCGGAGAUUUGUGCGUUAAACAUAUUACAUCAGACUACACAGACUUUUAUAAGCAAACUGAGAAUCGCCAGGACACAGAAGCGAAGGGCCCCUUCUAUUCGGUUUUUGGCAAAAAGCUUGAGUGUUGAUUGUUGAACAUUGGCCUAGAUAAACUAUGAACUUUUUGAAACACAGGGCGUUUGUUAUUUUUCUGAUGUGAGUUGGCAACAUAUGAUCAAUCAUUGGUCUGUUUUAUAGUUACUUUAAUGUGUACAUUUUCAAUUCUGUUAAGUCUUUUAAGUAUAAGGUUGCUUUCUUUUGUUUUACCUUCAUGUCAUCUUUCGACUUCUCGCAGCUGCAGUCUUCCUAUUUGCCCUCAUCCUUCGCUCUCCUGGCCCUUUUCUAUAGAGUUCAUCUCUUUACCCGACUUGUCACUGACUUCCUAUUUUCUAUUUAAAGCUCUCACACGUACGGCCUCUAUGUGUGCAAUAUAUCUCUUUAUCCAACUUCUCAUCGUCUUCCUACUCUCUCUCUAUCCCUCUCCCUCUAUAUCCCUCUCUCUCUCUCUCUCUCUCAGGUCCUCAGUCCUCCUUCUCCUCUUCAGUCCUCCUACUCCUCAUCCUCUUCAGUCCUCCUACUUCUCCUCAGUCCUCGUAUGUACAAUAACUUCUCAGUCCUCCUCAUCAGUCCUCUUGCUCAUCCUCCUACUCAGUUCUCCUCCUCAGUCCUCCUAUAAUGUACGAUUCCUUCUCUGUCCUUCUCCUCCUCUUCAGUCCUCAUACUCCUCCUCCUCAGUCCUCGUAUGUAUGAUACCUUCUCAGUCCUCCUUAUCCUCCUUUUCCUCCUCCUCAAUCCUCCUCCUCCCCAGUCUUUCUCAGUCCUCCUUCUUAUCUUCAUCCCCCUACUCUUCCUCCUCCCCAGUUCUCCUCCUCUUUCUCUUCCUCCUCCUCAGUCCUCCCCCUCCUCCCCAGUCGUCCUCCUCUUUCUCAGUCCUCGUAUGUACGAUACCUUCUCAGACCUUUUCCUCGUCCUCCUCAUCAGUCCUCCUCCUCCUCCUCCUGCUCAGUUUUCCUCGUCCUCCGUGUCUUUCUCCUCGUCCUCCUCUUUUUCAGUCCCUCUCAGUCGAGUCCUCCUCAGUCCUCCUCUUCCUCAGUCCUCGUAUGUACCAUACCUUCUCAGACCGUUUCCUCGUCCUCCUCAUCAGUCCUCGUCCUCCUCCUGCUCAGUUUUCCUCGUCCUCCUCUUACUCAGUCCCUCUCAGUCCUCCUCCUCCUCAGUCCUCGUGUGUAUGAUACCUUCUCAGUUCUCGUAUUACAUUUAAAUUUGUUUGACAUCGUAUAUAUUUAAAAGACUCGACCUUAUAAGUUUAAAUAGGUCCUAUAGUGCAGUAAUUAGAAGAUAUUGC